rnacentral:lncRNA from 1 species
UGCGUCCCAAGGACGGCUGCCCCCUUCAUCCUCGCUUCUGAAAUGCUCCUUUGCCCAUGGCUACGUUCCCCUGUCCCCAGAGCCACCUCUCGUGGAUCCCGCAUCCCUAAUUCUCAGUAGUACCACUGCUUCCCCAAAUCCCACUUUGCUGCAGCAGGUCUGGGCAAUCCCCAGCAUGUGGUCACACCUUUGCUAGAUCCCUUUUCCAAACUCCAUACUCUUCUGUGCCUUCUUUGCAGAUGCCAUGGAUCUGCCCCGGCAAGACCUUCCCCCACUAUGCUUUUGAAUAACGUUGCUUUUGUAUGGCGAUGUUUGCCUUCAUCCCCACUUCUGCACAUCCCUCAUCUGCUGCUGUUGUAUUCCCAAGCUUGGAGGCUUGCGAGUCAGUGAGAAGAGAGAACAAGAGACACCUGCAGAGAAUGAUUCAUUCUGUGCCUGUUCGACACCGCUCUGGAUGGAACAAGUCUCCUUGCUGGGUGUUGUCUCUCCCCAUCAAUUCUCAGCAGAAGCUAGACAACCAGUUCUGACCAGAAGCCUGACUUACGGGUGCCACGUGAGAUGAAUUGUACCACAGAUGACUAAUUUUUCUCAUUCAUCAUACCUGCUUUUGGCCUAUAGAAGUUGGGGUAGUGGAGGGGAAUCGUGUGCCAUAUCUUCCUGCUUUCCAAUCCAAGAUGCCAAAGUCUACCGGAGCACACAGUUGACUAGUAUAAAAUGAUACAUGCAGACCAGAAGUGGAAUACAUAUUGAUCAGAAGUUGAGUACGUGCUGACAAACCACCUCAAAAAAAACACAGUAACUCAGUUGGCUGGAUCCAUAUGGAGCUGAUGAACCUCUGAAUGAAUAGUGAAUGGAAAAACUGCUGGAAUCUGCCUUCAGCUUUGUUCCCAGGAUGACCAAUGUAAAAGGCCUAAGAGCAAUACUGCACAGAUGGUGUAAAGAGGUUUAUGAGCAAGCAAGAAGUAAAGUGGAAUCAACAGGGAUGUUGUGAAUGGCUUUUGUAGUCCUGCUGUCACUGGGGAAUCAUGCACGUCUGCCGGUCCUGAAGCAUUUCUUGGUUGUUUAUGAGGGCUGAAAUCACCUCCUUUCAAAUUUACCUUUUGGACUCUGCACCACUGUGGUAAAUAUUAGGUUAGCACCGGGCUGUAUAUCUGAGCUGAAAGACAACACCUCCAGCAAUACCGUGUCCUUGGCACUGUGUGGCUUCAGGUCUGACUCAGAUGGAUAAACGCCUUUGGAGGAGUGACUUGAAGUGUAAACCACACUAUCUGCUUUUAAUCUUGGAUUCUUUCCAGCUCCAGAUUUCACAUCUCUGUUACAGGCCAACAAACAGCCCUGGGAUCCAAAAAAAUACCUUUGCAACCACGCUCUAAUAAAUAAAUCUCUUUCUAUUGAUACAUACCUCUGAUAACUUCUACUGCACAGUGAAUACAUUGAUGGAUGUAUAUUAAGUGGAAAUGAAACAAUGCACAUUGCUGUGUGUAUUCAUUGUUUUUAGCAAUUGUUUGUUCAGUGAAAUAAGAUUUCACCGAGCAGUUAAGGAUAGUUUAGCUAUGCUUAACUUUUAUUAAUAAAAUUAGUACCUGAGGUGGAAUGAUUUCUUAGCAUCAACCCAAAAUAGCAGCAGGCAGAGCAGGUACAAUAGACAUUGUCACAAGGAUUAUAGUAUUUACACUCUGCUGAUGGUUACAAGUUCUUGAUGACAAACCAGAUUGUAUUAUAAAAUGCUAAAUUAAGAAAACAUCACACAUAACUUUAUUUUCCAUAAUUUUAAAGCAGGUUUGCGUGAAAAACAUUCACUUCUUUUUUCUUGAGAAUAGCCAUUACACAGCCCCGUGCUCUGAUCUUUUCUGCUUCUUUCACUUCGCUUUGCUUUUGCUCUUAUUCAGAACACAAUAAAUGUCACCAAUUUCUGUACACCUGGUGUAUGAAGAAGACAAAUACAAUAUUCAUCAGAGUGCCAUGUAGGCCUUUUUCUACCUCUGCCACUUUUUCGGGUAAAUUCUACUUAGCAGCUCAUUUCUGUUAAACCUUGGUGGUUUACAAUAACCUGGAGAUCCUCCUUAAGUGCUAGCAAAUGACUUAAAAAUAAACAAGAG